AUAUCUUCCAAAUCACCGACUCUUCCUCAGAAAACAACAUCUAAACCUACACCUUCCGAUUCACCUACGCCAAAGACAACAACUCAACCAAAACCUUCGGAUUCACUUCCUCAGAAAACAACAGUUAAGGAGCAAAAUUCCUCUAUCGUAUCCUCUACGACACCGAAAACCAUCUUUCAGCAUACUGUAGGGAUGAAAACGGUAUCUACUCCAAAUGAACUCAUAAAAAUGACGAGCUCAAAUUCACAAACGUCAUCACCAGAAAAUCAAAAACAUAUUCCUGAUCCAAAUAAAUUGUAUGUUGGUGGUCUAAAUGGAAAACUGACCAUUUUAUCACAUGCGUCUUGCCGAAUGUUUUCUUUUUAUACUUUAUUGCCUUUUACAUUAUUUGCUUUAUUUAUGAUCUUGUGAUAUUAUGAUAACAUUUUUAAGAAAAGAUUAUUUACCUUUAAAUUCUACAUGUAAGGGAUGUUUGAGAUUUUACUCUUCUAUGUAUUAUUUGUUGAAUGUCAAUGAUUUUAUAAACAGUAAAUGUAUGACUCUUUUAAA
rnacentral:lncRNA from 1 species